GGCGACCCAUGGCUGCUCCUGCAAGGCUCCUUACCUCUAGUAGCUCCUCCUGGCCGGGCCCUGAGGGAUUUAUUUGGCUUGGGAUUUGGUAGACAAGACGCCGUUUCACCCUCCAAAAAAUGUCUUAAAAUGACUGCUGGUAGCAUGCAUUCAGGAUUGAAGACAAGAACGUGCUGGUGUUCAAAAGCAAUUUAUCCCGGCGUGAUCCCGUGGACUCCCAAACGGUUCUUCUGGCAGACGUGACAUAUCGAGGUUGGCAGAUGGAGAUUUCUUGCAGCCUUCUCAUUGGCGUUCUGCUACCUGAAACACCUCCUAUUGGUCAACUUUGAGGGUCUUUAUUAAAGCAGAGAAAAGAGAUGGUGGAGGCCUGCCAUCUAUCUACCCAUCUUCUGCCGCUCAUCCAUCCCCGGCCACUUUGUCCAGCUACUCCUGGUGGAACAUGAGGCGUUCAUAGGCCAGUUGUGAGAGACAGUCUCCCCAAUGUGUCCCGGGUCUUCCCCCAGACUGGUCAGAUGUGCCCUGAACACUUCCCUAGGGAUUCUGAGUUGUUUUGGGGACUAGCCAGCUCACCCACUCCUGCCGCUGUCUGUGAGCUUCAUGCUGUGAUUGGCAGGAUCUGAGGUUAAGGCAGUUCCAUGGAUGGAGUCAGACGAGUUGGUGGGGCUCAACUGGACCCCCGUAGUGUCCUGCAGUGUGUGCUCACUGGUUUCCAUCUCGAAGGUCGCCCCCGUUUGCAUCAACUGCCACCUCUCACCCGCUUUGACCUCACAGGUCGAGCCGGCAGUGGAAGGGCGCAGACGGCUCGCCAUGCAGCACGCUGCGAAGAAAGCCACCGCUGUCAACAAGAGGAGCGGUCCUAUUACAAUUGGUGGGUUGGCUGCAGGGGUGUAGGUGGCGAAAGCAAAGGUGCCCACCAGGGUGACGUUGAUGCCGGCGAGCAGGACGCACAGGCCACAUGCACAGCAUAGAGGCGGGGAAGGUAGGCUGUGGGCUCGCUGCUUGUGGAUCUUAUCAGCUGCAGAGGGUCUGCUGGUGUUCUCUGUAAGCACCAUGGAGAAGUAGGAGGCAGGACUCGCCAGCUCACAUGAAGGAGAAGCUGAUAUUAAAAAAAGAAAAGUUGAUAUGAUUGGACAGCACCCAAACUAACAAAAUUUGAAAUCUGCAGCAAAACUUCACUGUAGUAGAAUAGAAAGGCCAAUUUCUAUAAAUAUAAAAUAAGGUGUACUUACUUUACAUCGAUUGCCCUCAUACCUAUGUCAAUGUGCCAGCAGCACAGCUGGAAAAGCAGGACAGCUUGUCUCUUCUGCAAGAUAACAGCAGACUGAACAGCUCUGCUUCCAAGCCCCCGCUGUUACAACGCAUCACCACUGAGGGGCACCAUAGAGCUCCUUAAAUGAACGCCACGCCCACUUGUACCAAAAAUAUUUACCAAAAAAAACAAUAUAAUGUAAAUAUUUUAAUAACCAUUUGACCAAAGAAGCUAACUCUUAGACUAAACAGCACCCUAAACUAGAAAAUUCCCACUGAAAUUUUGAUGGGCAUGCAACCUGUGCUGUGAACCUCAGGCCCGGUGUCUGCUGUGCCAAGCCACCGAGCAAUGCCAUGUGUACAUUACAUGAGGAAUUUAGCAAAAAAGCAAACAUACUAACUGUUAGCACACUAGCAUCUAGUGAAAAGGCACUCUAUAGCGAAAGCGUCAAGGCGGUCCUACAAUAUCCCUGCAUUAUGCCAUGUCUAUAUUAGCCUUUAGAUGUGAGCACCAAAAGUGCAGAGAAAGCAUUCCUACAUCAUGCCAUGUAUGUAGGCCUUUAAACAGGAGUAAAAUAUAGCCA